UCUCACUGGAGGAGGAGGGGUAGGUCAGGCCUCUUCCUGGCCUCAGAACAGGAUAUGGGUGGGGGAUGUUGGUGUCUCCUACACUGGGGCCUGCCCACCUUCUUCCCCCAAUGUUCCUCCAUCCUGCUCUGAGCGUUGUGCAGAGGACCCUGGACUGUGGGGUUCAUCCUUUCCUAGGGAGCUUCCAAGGGCCCACACAGCCUGCUCCCCGCACCCCAUGGAGGCGCAAUGAUAGCAGAAUUACUGGCACUGUUAACCUGCUGGAGUUGGAACCUUGGAGUCCUGGAAGUGGGACUUGCUCAAGGACUCACUGCUGGCCUUGGGGAGCAGAGAACUCAGGUCUUUGUGAUUCCGAAGUCCAGGUUCUUCCACCUGCAACUGCAGUUUCCAGAAUUGGUCCCACCCCAGGAGGAUCAGCCAUGGAGCUGUCUUCUUGGCUUCUGCUGUGAGAAGACUGUCGCCCUGAAUGGCUGCCGGCCCUUCAGCCUCGCCCCGCCAAGAGACACAUGGAACAGCCAGGGCCCAGCCUAGAGCCUGUAUCCCAGCCUAGCCUGAGGCAGAGCCACCCAGCCAAGACCAACUGACCUUCAGCUAACCUGCAGAUGCAUCAGGGGGAAUUAAAUGAUUGUUCUAAACCACUGAGUUAUGCAACGCCAGGAGCAGCAUCAGCCACGCUGUAAACAACGGGGAAACGCCAAGCGCAUUACAG
rnacentral:lncRNA from 1 species